rnacentral:rRNA from 1 species
UACGUAGGUGACAAGCGUUGUCCGGAAUUAUUGGGCGUAAAGGGAGCGCAGGCGGUUGGAAUAGUCUGAUGUGAAAGCCCACGGCUUAACCGUGGAAUUGCAUUGGAAACUGUCCAACUUGAAUGCAGAAGAGGAAGAGGAAUACUCAUGUGUAGCGGUGAAAUGCGUAGAUAUAUGGAGGAACACCAGUGGCGAAGGCGGCUUUCUGGUCUGUGAUUGACGCUGAGGCUCGAAAGCGUGGGGAGCGAACAGGAUUAGAUACCCCCGUAGUCC